CGUUUGUUGAAUUGUUCAUACGUGUUUCUGGUUUCAUGUUUUUUUUACAUUAGACCUUUAUUUUUCCUGUUCAAAUAGUUUUACACUAGUGUUUUUUUGUGCCUAUCAUAGCUUGCUACUCGAUAAAAACCAAAACUCCGUAUUAAUGACAAACCUAUAGGGAUUUACUUAUAAAAGAUGUAACUUAAAUAAAAAGUUGUCUCAUUUGAACUUAUAC
rnacentral:lncRNA from 1 species